UACAGAGGUCCCAAGCGUUGUUCGGAUUCACUGGGCGUAAAGGGUGCGUAGGCGGUCGGGUAAGUCUGAUGUGAAAUCUCACAGCUUGACUGUGAAACUGCAUUGGAUACUAUCCGGCUAGAGGAAUGGAGGGGAGACUGGAAUACUUGGUGUAGCAGUGAAAUGCGUAGAUAUCAAGUGGAACACCAGUGGCGAAGGCGAGUCUCUGGACAUUUCCUGACGCUGAGGCGCGAAAGCUAGGGGAGCAAACAGG
rnacentral:rRNA from 1 species